GAUGAACGCUGGCGGCGUGCCUAACACAUGCAAGUCGAACGAAGCUUGACGGAUGAUUUCUUCGGAAUGAAACCAGAUAUGACUUAGUGGCGGACGGGUGAGUAACACGUGAGCAACCUGCCUUUCAGAGGGGGAUAACGGCUGGAAACGGUCGCUAAUACCGCAUGAUGUGUUCGGAUGGCAUCAUCUGAACAUCAAAGAUUUAUCGCUGAAAGAUGGGCUCGCGUCUGAUUAGAUAGUUGGUGGGGUAACGGCCUACCAAGUCUACGAUCAGUAGCCGGACUGAGAGGUUGAACGGCCACAUUGGGACUGAGAUACGGCCCAGACUCCUGCGGGAGGCAGCAGUGGGGAAUAUUGCACAAUGGGGGAAACCCUGAUGCAGCAACGCCGCGUGAAGGAUGACGGUUUUCGGAUUGUAAACUUCUUUUCUUAGUGACGAAGACAGUGACGGUAGCUAAGGAAUAAGCAUCGGCUAACUACGUG
rnacentral:rRNA from 1 species